rnacentral:rRNA from 1 species
AGAGUUUGAUCCUGGCUCAGAACGAACGCUGGCGGCAGGCCUAACACAUGCAAGUCGAACGCCCCGCAAGGGGAGUGGCAGACGGGUGAGUAACGCGUGGGAAUAUCCCCCUUAGUACGGAAUAGCCCAGGGAAACUUGGAGUAAUACCGUAUACGUCCGUAAGGAGAAAGAUUUAUCGCUGAGGGAUUAGCCCGCGUUGGAUUAGGUAGUUGGUGAGGUAACGGCUCACCAAGCCGACGAUCCAUAGCUGGUUUGAGAGAAUGACCAGCCACACUGGGACUGAGACACGGCCCAGACUCCUACGGGAGGCAGCAGUGGGGAAUCUUGGACAAUGGGCGCAAGCCUGAUCCAGCCAUGCCGCGUGAGUGACGAAGGCCUUAGGGUUGUAAAGCUCUUUUACCAGGGACGAUAAUGACGGUACCUGGAGAAUAAGUCCCGGCUAACUUCC